rnacentral:ncRNA from 1 species
UGCUAGCCUCGGUGACCACCCGACGAGACGCGCCGUACCGGGUCACGACAAGACGACGCACC